CCUGGCGGCGAUAGCGCGGUGGUCCCACCUGACCCCAUGCCGAACUCAGAAGUGAAACGCCGUAGCGCCGAUGGUAGUGUGGGGUCUCCCCAUGUGAGAGUAGGGAACUGCCAGGA
rnacentral:rRNA from 1 species